GACAGAGGGUGCGAACGUUGUUCGGAAUUACUGGGCGUAAAGCGCGUGUAGGCGGCAGCGCAAGUCGGACGUGAAAUCCCUCGGCUCAACCGGGGAACUGCGUCCGAUACUGGUGGGCUCGAAUCCGGGAGAGGGAUGUGGAAUUCCAGGUGUAGCGGUGAAAUGCGUAGAUAUCUGGAGGAACACCGGUGGCGAAGGCGGCGAUCUGGCCCAACAUUGACACUGAGACCCGAAAGUGCGGGGAUCAAACAGG
rnacentral:rRNA from 1 species